CUUUAUCACACAUUAUAUUUAACUGUAACUUGGAAACCGUCGUCAGAAUACACAGAAAUACAGAAUACCAAUUUCUAUACUUAAAAUUUUACUAUACUGCAAGGAUAUGUAUCGGUUUUUUAUCUCUGGGGGGGGAGUUCAGUACCCCUGGACCACCCCCGUAAAUACGCCACUGUGUAUACGCAACAUUUUAACUUUUACUGUUUUCUUCUGAUACUAAGCCUUAAUAAUUAUGUUUUAUCUCUCAAAAGUUUUGUAUUUAGUUUGUAAUCGGUUGGGGGCGAAAAAAAAUUUGAGUUAUCGAAGUUCCACUAUGUAUAUUAAAAUAAUAGUUGUUUAAAGCAUAUAGUUAAGCAAUCGCUUACGACCCACCUCAGAGAAUGUGUAUAAAAAAUCGACGAUGAAUCAAUUAUUAUUGUCGACUUAUAUUAGAUGUAACAACGGCUCAGUGCUUUGAAUGGUCUUGCAGGGUUUGAAGUAUAGAUCACUGCGUUCUAACUAAGACUUUGUUCUUCCUUCUGGUGCAUAUACAAAUAAAUCUGAAGGUUCUCCGACUUGUGAGUAUGCCACAUACAGCUGUCCAUGUGAGAAGCAUGGAUUUGCAAAAUUCAGUCUGCACACUUGUAACGAUUGUCCUUGUGCUUUGUUAAUGGCCAUUGCGAAGGCGAGUCGCGCCGAGAACUGCAAAUGUUUGAAUUCGAAAGGCAUAUCAAUAAUAUAAUAUUGGCCCCAAAAUCAGGUUACUACGAAACGAUAAACAAACAUUGUAUUAUUUUAAACACGAGAUUUUUUUUAAUUUUUCUCAGUUUAUCACAGACAGUCAAACAAACAACACCAAAUUCAAAAUUGAGUUUUUAUAAUUUUAAAUACGCAAUUUUUUUUUUUUUUAUUUGUUUACAAGACACCUUAUUAUUAUUAUUAAGUUCAUUAAUUCAGUCCUAUAUGAUUUUCCAAGUCAACAUACGGAUUAUCAGGUCGUAUAAUGUUAUUAAUGUUUUGUUAUAUAUUAACUGCGCUAGGCCGGGACUAGGUUAGGUACGAAACGUGUAUGGUAUUUGUCGUGUACCAGUGGCGCAAUCAGGAUUUAUUCAGGGGGGUGGUCCAGGAAAAUUUUUUUAUGUCGUGUACCUAUAUAGUUCCGGCCUAACGCAGUUUGAACAGGACUCUCACUUAUACAUACCUAUGUACUGGACGUCCAAUAAAGAGGUAACCAAACGUUAAACAAAUAUAUAAAAACCUUUUUUUUUCUUUUCUUUUUUUAUUGUUUUACGGAGUCGUAGGUAAAACGAUAAAAAAAAGCGGCAGAUUGGCUUUGCGAGAUACCGAGUAUACUCCCUUUUUUAAGACGCCUAUAUGAACUGUAUAGUCACGAAGCACUGCUGAAGAUUGAAGAAAGAAGACUUAGUAAAAAAAGUCAGGUUAGAUUAAUCUAAUCUGACUAUGGAUUCGGAUAUAAAUUUUAGAUAUGCAGCUUUGUAUUGGCAGUUUUGUAUAGAUGACUGCAGUGUACGGUUGUGUAUAGGUUGGUCUAUCCCCAAGAAAAAUUCGGUAUGCCAACUGUCCUAUCCGGUCAUAACUUAAAUUUUUCAUUUUUUUCAAUUUCAAAUAUUUGGUUAAUGUUUGCUCUUUGUUGGAUGCCCAGUACAUAUUUUUUUAUAGACAAGAAUACUGAGUAUGUGGUUCCGAUAUCGCACACUGCUAUACUAUUACAAUAAUAUGGACUUUGAACAGUAUUCAAUGAUGGAAGCCCAAAUUACUUCCGCAUGGUGUUUCAUGAUGAUGGUAUAAUAGAACGCACCUAUAGGAAGCAACAAGCCCGGAUUAAGGGUGAGAGGGCAAGUCCCCGGGCCCACAUGUGUAAAGAGUUUUCUCUGUUUAUAAUUAGAUUAAAUGAUAAUUUUUACUUUCUAUAGUACUUACAACAAUAUUUUAUUUUUUUCUUGAUUGAACUAAGAGGCGAUGGGGCCCAUUAAAAAGCUAGAAAAAAACUUUAAAAAAUAUAAAAAAAAAUAAAAAUACUAAAAAAUAAAUAAA